rnacentral:rRNA from 1 species
UGGGGAAUUUUGGACAAUGGGCGAAAGCCUGAUCCAGCAAUGCCGCGUGUGUGAAGAAGGCCUUCGGGUUGUAAAGCACUUUUGUCCGGAAAGAAAUCCUUGGCUCUAAUACAGUCGGGGGAUGACGGUACCGGAAGAAUAAGCACCGGCUAACUACGUGCCAGCAGCCGCGGUAAUACGUAGGGUGCAAGCGUUAAUCGGAAUUACUGGGCGUAAAGCGUGCGCAGGCGGUUUGCUAAGACCGAUGUGAAAUCCCCGGGCUCAACCUGGGAACUGCAUUGGUGACUGGCAGGCUAGAGUAUGGCAGAGGGGGGUAGAAUUCCACGUGUAGCAGUGAAAUGCGUAGAGAUGUGGAGGAAUACCGAUGGCGAAGGCAGCCCCCUGGGCCAAUACUGACGCUCAUGCACGAAAGCGUGGGGAGCAAACAGGAUUAGAUACCCUGGUAGUCCACGCCCUAAACGAUGUCAACUAGUUGUUGGGGAUUCAUUUCCUUAGUAACGUAGCUAACGCGUGAAGUUGCACCGG